AGUGAACGCUGGCGGUAGGCCUAACACAUGCAAGUCGAACGGCAGCACAGUAAGAGCUUGCUCUUACGGGUGGCGAGUGGCGGACGGGUGAGGAAUACAUCGGAAUCUACUUUUUCGUGGGGGAUAACGUAGGGAAACUUACGCUAAUACCGCAUACGACCUACGGGUGAAAGCAGUGGAUCUUCGGACCUUGCGCGAUUGAAUUAGCCGAUGUCGGAUUAGCUAGUUGGCGGGGUAAGGGCCCACCAAGGCGACGAUCCGUAGCUGGUCUGAGAGGAUGAUCAGCCACACUGGAACUGAGACACGGUCCAGACUCCUACGGGAGGCAGCAGUGGGGAAUAUUGGACAAUGGGCGCAAGCCUGAUCCAGCCAUACCGCGUGGGUGAAGAAGGCCUUCGGGUUGUAAAGCCCUUUUGUUGGGAAAGAAAAGCAGCAGGUUAAUACCCCGCUGUUCUGACGGUACCCAAAGAAUAAGCACCGGCUAACUUCGUG
rnacentral:rRNA from 1 species